rnacentral:rRNA from 1 species
CCUACGGGAGGCAGCAGUGAGGAAUAUUGGUCAAUGGGCGAGAGCCUGAACCAGCCAAGUCGCGUGAGGGAAGACGGUCCUACGAAUUGUAAACCUCUUUUGCCGAGGAGCAACGGGGUCCUUGCGAGGGCCCACUUAUCGUCCCCGGAGAAAAAGCAUCGGCAAACUCCGGGCCAGCAGCCGCGGUAAUACGGAGGAUGCGAGGUUUAUCCGGAUUUAUUGGGUUUAAAGGGUGCGUAGGCGGGCGGUUGAGUCAGCGGGAAAAUGUCUGGGCUAAACCCCGGCUUGCCGUUGAAACUGGCGGCCUAGAGUGGGAGAGAAGUAGGAGGAAUGCGUGGUGUAGCGGUGAAAUGCAUAGAUAUCACGAAGAACUCUGAUUGCGAAGGCAGCAUACCGGAGCCUGACUGACGCUGAGGCACGAAAGCGUGGGUAUCGAACAGGAUUAGAUACCCCAGUAGUC